AUGAAAAUGCCAUGUCAAUAUGAAUAUGAGGCACAAGGAAGUAUCCCGCACUUGUCCCUACAGUGGAGAAGUCCCAGGAACCAGCUCCUCUGUCACCUGAUCAAGCACAAAACGUACAGCAACUGCACGGCUGGAUAUGCAGUGCACUACCACCCAGGGAAUGUUACUCUCAUCAUCGCUGAGGUAAGGCAGGAGGACUAUGGGAGGCAUGUCUGUUCUGUGAGCAAGCCUCAUGAAUUCUCAGACUUCAGCAUUGAAUUAUACCAGAAGGAAGAUCUCUCUGCUGAAUUACCAAAAGGCAAGGUAGAUCAGUCAGGUUCUGCAAAGGAUCAUUUAUUUCUUCUUGGCUGCAGUCUUUUUGUAUCCAUAUGCGGGUAAUAAGACAAGAAUAAUAUUUAUCAUCAGAAUAAUGAUCACCAGAUUAAUGUUUCAUAUUAGAUGCUAUAUACUUUGAGACAGGGGUUACCUGGGAUUGCUACAGUUCAAAAAUAAAAAGUCAAUGUUUUAUUAUAGUUUUUUUUUUUUUCAUAACAGUACCACUGGGUGGCAGUCUACUCAUAAAUAUCACUAAAACAUAUUUUAAGAUACAAGGCCUAAAGUAACGUACUUGAUGAUUUAUGUUUAAAUAUUGUUAUUUAAAAAAAUAUGUAUUAAUCAUUGCAUAUCAAUUUUAUGUAAGUUAAAAAAUAGGAUAUAUUAUAUAUAUGUAUAUUUAAUACAAUAAUAUUAAAUUAUAUAAUUUUAUAUUUAAAAUAAUAUAAACAUAAAACAACACAACACAAAAACUGCACAAUGCAAUGCAUCAUUCAAAAUAUUAGGGAAAAAACAUGUGUGGAAAAUCAAUAUGGAAAAUUAUCACAUUAACAUGGCCUGUUUUAUAGACUUUUCUUUUGAAUGUAAUUUAUUUAUUUAAAAAUAAGCAUGGGUACAAGAUUUAAGUUCUUUCAGACCUAUCAACCAAGCUGCUUUGUGCAUCAUUGUUGUCACUAAUUCAUAAUGCACAGUGUGUUUAUGCAUGUGCAUGUUUUAUAAAUGUGUUAAUAGUGGGGAGGUGUAAUGCCAAAUCACCAUAUCAAUUAAAUGACAAAAACACAAAGGUUUUAAAAUACAGAGUGACAUCUUUUGUUACAAUUUAUUUGCCUUUCAGAUGUUUGAUUGACGCUUCUUAAAUCAGAAUUAAUUUAGGAUUGUGAUGAAGUGACACUUUCAGAAUGAACACUGAGUAGUGCUCUUCUUUACAGACACAUUGGCUUGUAUCCAUUAUAGGGGUCUGUGACAUGAGCUUGCCUAAAAGAAUGUUUCACACAUGUAUGUGUGCCUGAAGGAUUCUGGCCUGACAUGUCUGCCUCCUUCUCAAAGACAAUUCAGCCUUAGAGCAUUUAAUGUUCGACUUGCUAUUUUAGUCAAAGUCAUACAACAUAAUAGGGACACUAAUAGCUGGAAACAAUGGCAGUUGUGUACAUGGUUUAUACAUAAAGAUGCUGUAAUAAUAAAGUUCUCAUUGUCAUCAUUUCACUGUGGCUAAUGUAAAUAUAUAAUGUUCUUAGUUAAUAAGUAUUUUGAAUUGUAUAUUAUAUAUUUAAAAAUGUGUAAAGGAGCAAAUGUGCUUGUAUGUCAAAAAUUAAGAGGAAGAAAAAAAAUAAGCUUUCAUUUAAACAAGAUGCACCAGCAGUUGUACUGUAUAUGUUUAACUGGAUUUAUGCAUGCCAUUUGAGAUACAGUGCUCUAAAGUCAGCUUUUAUUAUUAACUGUCAGCAUAGAAUAAUACAUUAGGAUAUUAAAAUAAAGGUUUGUUUUUUUACUGUGGCGGUGCCAUGGCACACUGAUGGAAUCAGAUGAUGCCAUACUUUAACAGGCUUACUACUGUGUGGAACUUAAUCUUUACCAUGAUAUUUACACUGUGUUGUUCAAAAGUUCGGAGUCAGUAAGAUUUUUCUUCUUGUUGUCUCCUUCUUUUUAUUCAGCGAAGACACACAGAAUUGAUGCAUACUUUUGAACUUUCUAAUUACCAAAAAAUAUAGUAUAAAAUAGAAAAAGUUUUUUAAAAAUUAAAAAAUCUUGGGCCCCAAGUAUACAGGGUUUAUGGGACAAUAAAAGCAAUACUGGGGUAAGAAACUGUCAUUUCAUGUCAGAUUUAUAAUAUGAUUUGCAUGCAUGCUUGUGGAUUUUGAAAGACAGAACUCUUAGCAUCUGAAUCAUCAGGUUCUCUCAUUCGAUUUGUUAUGUAACAUCCACAAAAGCUGUUCAUUUAAAUCCAAACACAACUAGAAAUAUCUUAUUUGACCAGACAGGGAGGGUUGUAACACUUUUCAGUGCAUCUGCUGGAUCCGCCAAGGGUUCACAGAUUUGGACAGUGUAUACGGUAGAGAUUUCACACAACUGUGAGAGUGACUAACACACACCUACGCUGUCUGUUGUGUUUUUGGAGUUGUUAGCCUAUGUUUUAUGUAUUUGUUUCCUAAUUUAAUUUGCUAUUGUUUAAUUAAAAAUGUUUUAUUUAUUUACGUUUUUGAAACAAAAUCUUUAGAAUGAAAUGAGGGUGGAGGGUGGUGCAUUGGCAUCACUUUUUAUUUUAUUUCCACAAUAAAUGUAUCAAAUCUUAUAACAUGCCCUAAAUUGCCUCUGGUAGUGGUGAAGGUUGUUACAACAGCACAUAUGUAUUUAUUUAAGGUUAUAGGGAUACGUUGUAAAUUUGUUGUAUGCGAUUUUGAGACAGAUAGUGAAGAAGAGGGAGAAAAACACAUGCAAACGUGAAUAUUAUGAAACAAAAUGUGUUAACUAUAUCUGCC
rnacentral:lncRNA from 1 species